rnacentral:ncRNA from 1 species
AAUAAAACGUUGAGAGAAUAGUACUUAAAUAAGUUGUUUUAGAGAGUUGACGCUUGGUGAAAGUCAAUACAAUGAAUUAAGGAAUCCACUUUCCCUAAAGAAUAUAUAACGAAAACACGAUGUGGUUAAGUUAUAUCGGAUGCAAACCGUUAUUUGCUUACUAAUGAAGGCACGUUUGUGCAAAAUCUGGGUGGUACCGUGAAAUUUAACCUUUCGCCCCAAAA